GUUCCUUUCGAUUGUAACAAAAAGAAACUGUGAUUAAAUUAGGUUUAUUUCUGGACGUACUAGGUUUUCAUCCUGCCCUGCGCAAGCUUAUGUACAUUGAACACUUCGGAAGGUGCCUAAUCCUGGUUGAAAGGAUCGGUAAUCACGGAAGAGGUUGCCAGCUGAUGAUGACUGAAAGUGCACUGGAUUACCCUAUUCCGACGUUCUGUAUGCUCCUCUACCGCCACCACUGCCCCGGGCCCAAGGUUGUGCUCUACCAUCCCUAUUGCAAAUAUCAAGACGCUCUCAUUGACCGAAAGGCAAUUGAUGAAGGCUAUAUUAAGCAUUGAAAA